rnacentral:rRNA from 1 species
CAGUCGCCACGGUAAUACGUAGGUGGCAAGCGUUGUCCGGAAUUAUUGGGCGUAAAGGGCUCGCAGGCGGUUUCUUAAGUCUGAUGUGAAAGCCCCCGGCUCAACCGGGGAGGGUCAUUGGAAACUGGGAAACUUGAGUGCAAAAGAGGAGAGUGGAAUUCCACGUGUAGCGGUGAAAUGCGUAGAGAUGUGGAGGAACACCAGUGGCGAAGGCGACUCUCUGGUCUGUAACUGACGCUGAGGAGCGAAAGCGUGGGGAGCGAACAGGAUUAGAUACCCCUGUAGUCCCUGUCUCUUAUAC